GAUCCUAGCUCAGGAUGAACGCUAGCUACAGGCUUAACACAUGCAAGUCGAGGGGCAGCAUGAACUUAGCUUGCUAAGUUUGAUGGCGACCGGCGCACGGGUGAGUAACACGUACCCAACCUGCCGAUGACUCGGGGAUAGCCUUUCGAAAGAAAGAUUAAUACCCGAUGGCAUAGUUCUUCCGCAUGGUAGAACUAUUAAAGAAUUUCGGUCAUCGAUGGGGAUGCGUUCCAUUAGGUUGUUGGG
rnacentral:rRNA from 1 species